rnacentral:lncRNA from 1 species
ACUGUAAAUAUGAGUUCAUUUUACGCCAAUUCGAUUUGCACCGGCUUUUGUAGGAACGGAACUGUGGUGUAAACCAAGGGCUACCUGUACUUUAAAUCAUCUCUAGAUUACUCAUGAUAUCUAAUACAAUGUAAAUGUUAUAUAAAUAGUUGUCAUACUGUGUUGUUUAGGGAAUAAUGACAAGAAAAAAAUUUUGAUUUUUGGAAUUUUUCUGGUAAUUUUUUUCAUUUUUUAAUAUUUUCAAUCUGCAAAUAUGAAAGGUUGACUAUAUAGUAUUUUUUUAAGUAAUCUCAAUUUGCUAUAGAGGUAUUCAAAUUUUUCAUUGAAAUUAAUUUUUUGCAAUAAAAUCUGAUUUAAUUUUGUAAUUG